UACGGAGGGUGCAAGCGUUAUCCGGAUUCACUGGGUUUAAAGGGUGCGUAGGUGGGUUUGUAAGUCAGUGGUGAAAUCUCCAGGCUUAACCUGGAAACUGCCAUUGAUACUAUAGAUCUUGAAUUAUCUGGAGGUCAGCGGAAUAUGUCAUGUAGCGGUGAAAUGCUUAGAUAUGACAUAGAACACCAAUUGCGAAGGCAGCUGGCUACAGGUAUAUUGACACUGAGGCACGAAGCGUGGGGAUCAAACAGG
rnacentral:rRNA from 1 species